UACAGGGGGUGCAAACGUUGCUCGGAAUCAUUGGGCGUAAAGCGCACGUAGGCGGUUCGUUAUGUCGGAUGUGAAAGCCCUUGGCUUAACCGAGGAAGUGCAUCCGAAACUGGCGAGCUAGAGUACUAAAGAGGAUCGCGGAAUUCCCGGUGUAGAGGUGAAAUUCGUAGAUAUCGGGAGGAACACCGGUGGCGAAGGCGGCACUCUGGGCCGGAACUGACGCUGAGGCGCGAAAGCGUGGGGAGCAAACAGG
rnacentral:rRNA from 1 species